CCUGGACUGCCUUGGUCAUGCCUCCCUCAUAGUGAGAGGUUCCCCAAGCUCUGAGAUCACUUCCCUAUCCACUGUGGUCCUGCCUCCUACUUUUCCCUAUAUAAUCCGGCUCAACAGGAGUCCUCUCUCUUUCUCUUCUUCCUUCCCUCUCCUGUCUCCUGCAGGCCCACAUUGUAUAGGGUUGCAGUU